GACGAACGCUGGCGGCACGCUUAACACAUGCAAGUCGAACGAGAGAAGAGAAGCUUGCUUUUCUGAUCUAGUGGCGGACGGGUGAGUAACACGUGAGCAAUCUGCCUUUCAGAGGGGGAUACCGAUUGGAAACGAUCGUUAAUACCGCAUAACAUAAUUGAACCGCAUGAUUUGAUUAUCAAAGAUUUAUCGCGGAAAGAUGAGCUCGCGUCUGAUUAGCUAGUUGGUAAGGUAACGGCUUACCAAGGCGACGAUCAGUAGCCGGACUGAGAGGUUGAUCGGCCACAUUGGGACUGAGACACGGCCCAGACUCCUACGGGAGACAGCAGUGGGGAAUAUUGCACAAUGGAGGAAACUCUGAUGCAGCGAUGCCGCGUGAGGGAAGAAGGUUUUAGGAUUGUAAACCUCUGUCUUCAGGGACGAAAAAAGACGGUACCUGAGGAGGAAGCUCCGGCUAACUACGUG
rnacentral:rRNA from 1 species